rnacentral:ncRNA from 1 species
AUAGAGAAACACAUUAUAGAGAUGCAUAAUGCCAUGUAACUAACCCACUAAGAGCCAAAACCCAUUUUUAUCCAAUAUUGCUAGAACAAAAGUGGACUAUUUAUUGGUAAGCAGAACUGGCAAUGUAGGAUGAACUGGAAAUCGGGUUACAGUGUCCAACUGCGCACUAACCUAGAACCCACUAAGGGUGCUAGUCGAUUAAGAUAGCAGGAUGGUGGUUAUGGAAGUCGAAAUCCGCUAAGGAAUGUGUAACAACUCACCUGCCAAAUCAACUAGACUUGAAAAUGGAUGGUGUUGAAGCAUGCGACCUAUACCUGGUCGUUGAGGCAAGGGCUAGGUCUUAAUGAGUAGAGAACGUCGUGGUCGUUACAAAACCUGGGGCGUGAGCCUGGGCAAAGCAAUCGUUGGUGUGGAUCUUUGUGGUAGUAGCAAAUAUUCAAAUGAGAACUUUGAAGGCCAAAAGGGGGAAAGGUUCCAUGUGAACAACACUUGCACAUGGGUUAGUUGAUCCUAAGAGACAAUGGAAACUUGUCCUACAAUGUGCAAUGUGCUAGCUUAGAAAGGGAAUCGGGUUAACAUUCUUGAACUGGGAUACGACAGCUAACGACAACGUUAGGAAGUCCAGAGACAUCGUCGAGGGCCCCAGGAAGAGUUAUCUUUUCUAUUUAACAAUUUGCCCACCUUGGAAAUGGCUUAGUUAGAGGUAGGGUCCUGUGGUUGGAAAAACAUCGCACAUCGUGUGGUGUCCAACGUGCCCUUGACAACCCUUAAAAAUCUAGAGGACCAAGUACUUCCCAAGCCCGAUCAUAUUCUUUUUCAAUUUCUAGCU